GCCCUAGUAACGGCGAGUGAAGCGGCAACAGCUCAAAUUUGAAAUCUGGCCCUCGGGUCCGAGUUGUAAUUUGUAGAGGAUGCUUUUGGUGCGGUACCUUCCGAGUUCCCUGGAACGGGACGCCAUAGAGGGUGAGAGCCCCGUCUGGUUGGAUACCAAUCCUCUGUAAAGCUCCUUCGACGAGUCGAGUAGUUUGGGAAUGCUGCUCUAAAUGGGAGGUAUAUGUCUUCUAAAGCUAAAUAUUGGCCAGAGACCGAUAGCGCACAAGUAGAGUGAUCGAAAGAUGAAAAGCACUUUGAAAAGAGAGUUAAAAAGUACGUGAAAUUGUUGAAAGGGAAGCGCUUAUGACCAGACUUGGGCUUGGUUGAUCAUCCUGGGUUUUCCCUGGUGCACUCUUCCAGUUCAGGCCAGCAUCAGUUUGCUUCGGGGGAUAAAGGCUUCGGGAAUGUGGCUCCUCCGGGAGUGUUAUAGCCCGUUGUGUAAUACCCUGAAGCAGACUGAGGUUCGCGCAUCUGCAAGGAUGCUGGCGUAAUGGUCAUCAGCGACCCGUCUUGAAACACGGACCAAGGAGUCGUCUUCGUAUGCGAGUGUUCGGGUGUUAAACCCCUACGCGUAAUGAAAGUGAACGCAGGUGAGAGCUUCGGCGCAUCAUCGACCGAUCCUGAUGUUCUCGGAUGGAUUUGAGUAAGAGCAUACGGGGCCGGACCCGAAAGAAGGUGAACUAUGCCUGUAUAGGGUGAAGCCAGAGGAAACUCUGGUGGAGGCUCGCAGCGGUUCUGACGUGCAAAUCGAUCGUCAAAUAUGGGCAUGGGGGCGAAAGACUAAUCGA
rnacentral:rRNA from 1 species